UACGGGGGGAGCAAGCGUUGUUCGGAUUUACUGGGCGUAAAGGGCGCGUAGGCGGUCAGCACAAGUCAGUUGUGAAAUCUCCGGGCUUAACCCGGAAAGGUCAACUGAUACUGUGCGACUAGAGUGCAGAAGGGGCAACUGGAAUUCUUGGUGUAGCGGUGAAAUGCGUAGAUAUCAAGAGGAACACCUGCGGCGAAGGCGGGUUGCUGGGCUGACACGUGACGCUGAAGCGCGAAAGCCAGGGGAGCGAACGGG
rnacentral:rRNA from 1 species